CAAGGUGUUUUUCAUACUGGGUAGACGUUAGUUUUGAGGUUUCAACAUUGUAAGCCAAAGAAAAACUAAGGAAGGUCUUAAGGAGUUGCUGGAGGAGUAGUACGAGUUGCUAAGCAAGGGUUAAAUUCCUAAACACCAAAUUAAGUUGUUUUGCAGGAAUAAGCUGAAGGUCAAAGAUAAACUUUAUUUGAAAGUUCGUGAUAUAUGUUUUGCUGCUGCGUGAUGUUAUUGUAUAAAUUAAUUAUGGGAUGUAACUUAUAUUUUUGGAUUCAACUUUUAAUUACUUAGACUACGAUGUAAUAAUUAAGUAUUUUAAGUGGAUUUUCAUAAACUAUGCUCAGAUUUAUGCA